ACGGGUGAGUAACACGUGGGCAACCUGCCCUUGAGACUGGGAUAACUUCGGGAAACCGGAGCUAAUACCGGAUAAUAUAAGGAACCUCCUGGUUCCUUGUUGAAAGAUGGUUUCGGCUAUCGCUUAAGGAUGGGCCCGCGGCGCAUUAGCUAGUUGGUGAGGUAACGGCUCACCAAGGCGACGAUGCGUAGCCGACCUGAGAGGGUGAUCGGCCACACUGGGACUGAGACACGGCCCAGACUCCUACGGGAGGCAGCAGUGGGGAAUCUUCCACAAUGGACGAAAGUCUGAUGGAGCAACGCCGCGUGAGUGAUGAAGGCCUUCGGGUCGUAAAGCUCUGUUGUUAGGGAAGAACAAGUGCGAGAGUAACUGCUCGCACCUUGACGGUACCUAACCAGAAAGCCACGGCUAACUACGUGCCAGCAGCCGCGGUAAUACGUGGGUGGCAAGCGUUAUCCGGAAUUAUUGGGCGUAAAGCGCGCGCAGGUGGUUUCUUAAGUCUGAUGUGAAAGCCCACGGCUCAACCGUGGAGGGUCAUUGGAAACUGGGGAACUUGAGUGCAGAAGAGGAAGGUGGAAUUCCAA
rnacentral:rRNA from 1 species